GACAUCAUACCUGAAAAAUCUUAGAUUAUGGCUGAAGACAGAUCGAAAGCAUUGUCCUUUACAGUACACAUUUCUGCUGCUUAAAAAACAAAACAAAACAAAAAUCUGCUAAAUUUUGCCUUUGUUUCUCAAUAGUGUUCCAAAUAUCCCUACAUAGAGUAUCUUUACAAUGGUAAAGUUAGCAAUCACUUAGGCUGGAGUUUCCAUGAGUGGAAGUAGCAGUAAUUAGUCUGGAAUAGCAAAGAGGUUGAAGUUUUAGAAUAGACAGGAAAUGAGAACUCAAGGCCCCUGAGAAUGGAUCAAUGGUAUUGUUUGCUUUAGUCACAGAAAACAAACAAACAAACUUGAUAAUCCUUGGUUUUCAUUUUAGAAAUUAUUUGUAAUCCUUUUCUAAAUGGUGAUUCUUGAAUUUUUCCAGUUACAAACACCUUGGAGAAUCCAAUAAAAACGUUGAAUGCUUUUCUUAAAAAAAAAUACACGUAAUUUUUCAUACUGUUUCAGAAAUUUAUCAGUACUUCUUGAAGCCCCGUCAUGAAUCCCAGAUUUUUCACUCCUGUUCUAAGAGAUAUGAAAGGCCUCUUCCAUUAAAUUUGAUUUUGAGCAGUGAUUCCAACAGUGACACGUCAGCACUCAUAUUUCCAAUCCCAUUUGGUCUCAGUGUUUCUGGCUUAUGAACUACAGUGCUGUAGGCAGCAGGAAGAGAAUGACUCAGACAGCAAAAAGGAGUGGUUACCGCACUCAUGGAUGUUCAAGAGUUGACUUGAUUAUUUGCCUUGGCCAAGUCACUUUGGCCUUAUCAUCUACAAAAUGCAGACGUUAACCCUAGAUUUCAUCAAAUGCCCUCCAGAAGAUAACAAUCACAUUUGGAAGCAACUUAAAACACUUGGGAAGGAAGACUAUGAAUAAAGAUUAAUUUUUCCCAAAGUAAAGCUUAUUUUUGGACAAUAAAUAUGUUUGGCCAUAUUAGCGACACAGGUUCUUUCAAUGGUUUUUACUCGUUUGGCUUAAGAAUCACUUGAAGGGGGUAAAUAGUCCUGUCAAACACAGAGAGAUCAUACACCUAGGCACACUCUUUUUUUCUGCACUCUAUUAUGAGGCAUUUUUCCUGGA
rnacentral:lncRNA from 1 species